UGGUCCUUGAGUUGUUGACUGACCAUGUAUCAGAGGACACGCAACAACACACUUCCUGAUCUUGUCGAUGAACACCGGAAUAGGAGUAACACAUAAUGUCAGCUUGCAGAUUUUGCACUAGGAGUGGCAUCAAUACAUAUUUGGAGAGGCUAAGUUGGUCUGCUUCCAGCCCUUAUAUCCAGUGUGCCAGCUCGGGGACUCACACCAAGAUAAGUCUGCGAGGAAACAUAGGGAUGAUCUCUGGAAUCCAUUGCCUCUUAACUGUCUCCCACUGACACAGCCGCUGCCGAGGUUUGCCGCCUACACUGUCCUUCCCUCUCCAACCAGGUAGCCACCGUCGCGUAGGUUGAUUGGCCGUCGGUGUGCCGCUCAGGAGGUCUGAUCCAUUUGUCCUCCUUUCAUUUAAAUUCCAUCCAUGAAUUGUUCAAAUGAUUGAAAAAUGCAUAACAAAUCAUAUAUCCAAAGUCCUGAU